GCCCCCAUAGCUCAGCGGAUAGAGCAGCCGCCUUCUAAGCGGUUGGUCGCAGGUUCGAUCCCUGCUGGGGGCA
rnacentral:tRNA from 1 species